UACGAAGGGGGCUAGCGUUGUUCGGAAUUACUGGGCGUAAAGCGUAUGCAGGCGGACUUUUAAGUCGGGGGUGAAAUCCCGAGGCUCAACCUCGGAACUGCCUUCGAUACUGGAAGUCUUGAGUCCGGGAGAGGUGAGUGGAACUCCGAGUGUAGAGGUGAAAUUCGUAGAUAUUCGCAAGAACACCAGUGGCGAAGGCGGCUCACUGGCCCGGUACUGACGCUGAGGCACGAAAGCGUGGGGAGCAAACAGG
rnacentral:rRNA from 1 species